rnacentral:lncRNA from 1 species
GCGGCUCUGAAUGCAUUUUGUGAACAGCUCAGGGCUGGACACGUGUGGCGAAUUGGAGAAUGAUUUCUCCAGUUCCUGCACUCAGACAUGAAGUACUUCUUCGUGCCUUUUGCAGAAGAGGCCCCAGAAGAAGGGGUGGGGCAGAGGCAAAGGGGGACGAUGAAGACAGGACAAGCCUCGAGCUGAGAUCUUCAUCGUUCAGAUGGAGACGCCUCCAGAGGGCUCUGGUUGCCCUCGGUGGGUGCUCUCAUCUCCUCCCUGGCCUCGUCGGCCUCCCCUCGCUCCUUUCAGGAUGCUGCCUCCCCUCCCCCUCGGAAGGUUUCCCAAUCAAGGCAGAUCAAAGCCACCGCAGAUGUGCUCCCGUGGGCUCCAUGAAGGCCGUGCCCAGGACGCCUAGCUCGGAAGCCCAAGAAAACAAAGAUGCGCUUCUGUCUGUGUCCCUAGACCACUCCAAUCAGCUAAACGAAGGCCAACCACGGACGCUGGCAUCUAGGGCUCCGACUGUCCCGGCUCCCGGGCGGGCGGCAGAGGCACGGGACAGGUCAAGCCACCAGUCGGCAAGGCAGUUACUUCCAGGCGAGAGGUGAAGGUGACCUUGCCCUUGAUGAAGGCUCCAGGAAGCCCUGGGAACCGCGGCUUCUCGGCCAGAUCCACGGGGGAGGACUGUCACUGGGAGGGUGGGAAGACGAUGGAGGGGCUGGACUGUCCCUUCAGCGUGUCGGCGAUCCGGGACCCCCGGUGGUCCCGACUCAGGUGCACAGGACCUCACGGUAACCUUGUCAGAGCUGCUCAGAACGGACCCAGAGCUUGGUGGUCCCCUUCUUUGGGACCCUCGGGUGUUGUGUCCCUCCUGGCUAAGCUUGCUCCACAGAUGGUCAAUAAAGGAGGUGACAGAGGCCA